GCCAAGGCCAACAGGAUCAAUAGACACUGUUUUGUCCUCUAGAAGCCCAGUUUGUGCUAAGGACUCUGGAAAUGGGACAUGGGGGCAAGAAUCAGGAUCCUUUUAAAUUAGUUUAGCAUCUUUCAGCUCAUAAUGUGUGUAACUUCAUUUCAUGCUAUGAGCUCUCACAGGGCUCUCUUGGUUCCUUCCCAUAUAGAGACACUGAGGAGCUUCCUGAUGCAAUGCAAUAGAAAGGACAGUGAAGCUCAGAGGGAGAAAUUUGAGGAGGAGAACAGGAAGGUGAAGAAAUUUCUGGAGGCAGCUGCUGAGCAACGCCAACAACUGCAGCACAAGCGACAGAGCAUGGUGGCAGAGAUGGAGAUGCUGGACGUCCAGUUUCUCUCAGAAACUUGUAUCAUCUCAGGAGAAGAGGCUGACAAAGAAGAGAUAGAACAUCUUCCACAGGCCUUUCAGGAGCUCUGUCCAGGACCCUAGAAGAUCAACUCAAGACUAACCUCGGGAGAAACCAUGCUUUCCUAGGAAAGGAUGAAAAUGACCUUUUUAAAAAAAUACUAAUCUUAUUAAAUGUUGCUGGGAAUUUAUAAAGAUUUAAUGUAGAUGUACAACUUUUUUGUAUGUUAAUCACAAUAAGUAAGUGAACAGUCUUUUACUUGUGUGUUCAUGACAGUAUAUGAACUCGUGUGAAUUUAUUGCCUUCUGCAAAUAUUAUUGAAGAGACACUAUUGAUUUGGUGGUCCUAUAUAUUUAAUCUUUGGCACAAUCUGAUUUCCAGAAAGACUAGAUCUCUACACAGUACUGAUAGUGUAUAAGAGUGGUUCUUUUACCACAUCAAAUUCAGCUAAAUAUUUUUGUGUAAGUGCUACCAUUAAUUCCUUUCUACAGUUGAAAGUCAAACCACUCAGCUGUUUGUCUUCACAGCCUGUGACCUUUAAGGAAAUCCUGGGUAGCAUAGAUCCUGGCUACCCUGAACACCCU
rnacentral:lncRNA from 1 species